rnacentral:rRNA from 1 species
GUUGCCAGCGCGUAAUGGCGGGGACUCAUAAGAGACUGCCGGGGUCAACUCGGAAGAAUGUGGGGAUGACGUCAAAUCAUCAUGCCCCUUAUGUCUUGGGCUGCACACGUGCUACAAUGGCCGGUACAAAGGGCUGCGAUACCGCAAGGUGGAGCGAAUCCCAAAAAGCCGGUCUCAAUUUGGAUUGGGGUCUGCAACUACCCCCCAUGAAAUUGGAAUCGCUUUUUAUUGCAGAUCAGCAACGCCGCGGUGAAUACUUUCCCGGGCCUUGUACACACCGCCCGUCACGUCACGAAAGUCGGUAACACCCGAAACCGAUGGCCAUCACCCACUGUGAGGGAGCCGUCGCACAGGUGGGAUUUGGCGAUUGGUGACGAAGUAGUAACAAGGUAGCAGUCACCGGAAGUG